GACGAACGCUGGCGGCGUGCUUAACACAUGCCAGUCGAACGGAAAGGCCCUGCUUGCCGGGUACUCGCGUGGCGAACGGGUGAGUAACACGUGGGUGAUCUGCCCUGCACUUCGGGAUAAGCCUGUGAGACUGGGUCUAAUACCGGAUAGGAGCCAUUUUUAGUGUGAUGGUUGGAAAGUUUUUUCGGUGUAGGAUGAGCUCGCGGGCUAUCAGCUUGUUGGUGGGGUAAUGGCCUACCAAGGCGGCGACGGGUAGCCGGCCUGAGGGGGUGGACGGCCACAUUGGGACCUAGGUGAGGCCCAAGCUCCUACGGGGGGCAGCAGGGGGGAAUAUUGCACAAUGGGCGCAAGCCUGAUGCAGCGACGCCGCGUGGGGGAUGACGGCCUUCGGGUUGAAAACUCCUUUCGCUAGGGACGAAGCUUUUUGUGACGGUACCUAGAUAAGAAGCACCGGCUAACUACGUG
rnacentral:rRNA from 1 species